GUUAUUGUAGCUUAUUACAUAAAGCAUGGCACUGAAGUUGCCAAGACGGAUAUUACACAAUCCCAAAAACA
rnacentral:tRNA from 1 species